rnacentral:rRNA from 1 species
GAAAUGCGAUAAGUAAUGUGAAUUGCAGAAUUCAGUGAAUCAUCGAAUCUUUGAACGCACCUUGCGCCCUCUGGUAUUCCGGAGGGCAUGCCUGUUUGAGUGUCAUUAAAUUCUCAACUUCAAUAGUUUGUAAUGAACUUUUGAAGCUUGGAUGUGGAGGUUUUGCUGGCGUCUCAGUUAUGCUCGGCUCCUCUUAAAUGCAUUAGUGGAACCCGUUUAUUGGAUCAUCCAYGGUGUGAUAAUUAUCUACGCUUUGGUUGAUUUAGUGAACUCUGUGAACUUUCAGAAUUGCUUAGGCAUUCUGGUGUGGGCAUUGUAACUAUGUUGCUUUACCUGGUUCAUUAGAGUUGGGACAUAUCUGCUCUCUAACUGUCUGUGUAUGCGGACAAUUYCUUGAUAUUUGACCUCAAAUCAGGUAGGACUACCCGCUGAACUUAA